AACGCGAAGAACCUUACCUGGGCUCGAACGGCUUAAGACAAUCCUUGGAAACAGGGACUUCCCGCAAGGGACUUGAGUCGAGGUGCUGCAUGGCUGUCGUCAGCUCGUGUCGUGAGAUGUUGGGUUAAGUCCCGCAACGAGCGCAACCCUUGUCCUGUGUUGCCACUCCGAAAGGAAGCACUCGCAGGAGACCGCCAGCGAUAAGCUGGAGGAAGGUGGGGAUGAUGUCAAGUCAUCAUGGCCUUUAUGUCCAGGGCUACACACGUGCUACAAUGGACGGUACAAACCGCUGCAAACCCGCGAGGGGGAGCUAAUCGGAAAAAACCGUUCUCAGUUCGGAUCGCAGGCUGCAACUCGCCUGCGUGAAGCUGGAAUCGCUAGUAAUGGUGUAUCAGAACGAUACCGUGAAUACGUUCCCGGGCCUUGUACACACCGACUGUAC
rnacentral:rRNA from 1 species